CCUACGGGAGGCAGCAGUGAGGAAUAUUGGUCAAUGGGCUUACGCCUGAACCAGCCAAGUCGCGUGAGGGAAGACUGCCCUAUGGGUUGUAAACCUCUUUUGUCAGGGAGCAAUUGGCGCUACGUGUAGCGUUAUCGAGAGUACCUGAAGAAAAAGCAUCGGCUAACUCCGUGCCAGCAGCCGCGGUAAUACGUAGGAGGCAAGCGUUAUCCGGAAUGACUGGGCGUAAAGGGUGCGUAGGUGGUUCAGCAAGUUAGUAGCGUAACUCCGGGGCUCAACCUCGGCACUACUACUAAAACUGUUGGACUUGAGUGCAGGAGGGGCAACUGGAAUUCCUAGGGUAGCGGUGGAAUGCGUAGAUAUUAGGAGGAACACCAGUGGCGAAGGCGAGUUGCUGGACUGUAACUGACACUGAGGCACGAAAGCGUGGGGAGCAAACAGGAUUAGAUUCCCCUGUAGUC
rnacentral:rRNA from 1 species